CGGUUUUAGUGAAACUUUUCAAGUUGGAGCGCUUGGGUUCGAAUCCUAUGCCUCCAGGAUCUUGGAGAAUUAUUUUAAUUUUGUUGAGAAAUCAACAAAACCCUUUAACCCUAGCCACUAGUAGCAGCCACACAUUUUCUAUGUUUCAUUCCCUUAUUCUCUCUCUCGUUCACUAAGACUGACUUCUCUUCAGUCUGAAACCCUAAACAGAUCGAUCGAUCCAUUCCCUUCCCUUUCCCUUAUCCCUGUCCUCUGUACUCUCACUCUGGACCAUCUCCUUCCCAGCUCCGUAGUUCUUCCGCUUUGUCUUCUUCAUGCCAAUGCCAUCUCACUCUCAGUCUCUCACCCCUGUGACCCGUGACCCGCGCGCGACCUAUGACUUCCUCUCACCAUUUCGAGUCUCGAGUCUCGACCCACAAAUUCCCUCAUUUGCAAGGAGCAAAUUGGAUAUAUGGAGUGUUGGGAGGAUGGUAGAAUGGAGACCUUGCAAGUUGUGGCUAUAAGGGCACCUCACUGGUACAUUCCAACUUAUUUUGCUUCCAUUGCAUUUGGCUGUGAUUGAUGGGAAUAGAAUUAGGAUUGAGGUGAGGUUACUAUAUAGUUUUUGAUAUUCGGAGUCAGUUCCCUUAAUUAACUAUCAUUGCAGACAAUUGCAUUGGUUUUCUGCAGCUCUGCCAUCAAAGAGUAAUGGAUUCAUUCGAGUGGAUUGCUAUGAGGGCCUUAAUCAGAUGAGAAGAGAUAUGAAGUCAAGUGCAUCAAAGGCCUCGAGCUCAAGCUCAAACUCAACGAGAUCAUCAAAUUUGGACUUUGUGCAUCCUACCUUGAAGGUUUAUUUGACUUGUGUGAUGUUUAUUUUAAAUUUGGACUUUGGAAGAUUUGAUUGAUGAUUCUAGUUGAACUUUAAAUGUUUAUUUUCAUUGUCUUUGAUUCUAGUUGGAAUUCUUAUGUUAUGAUUGUGUUGGAAAUGUUGAGUUUUCUUUAUAAAAUAAAUUAGAGUUACAGUGGAAUAAGAGGGAUGGCGGAGAUGGCUGAUUCGCUAUGGCUUCUGAACAAGAAGAUUGAAAGGGUGGCAUGGGUGGGUGGGGGUUGGCUGGUUGGGGAAGUUGAAAAGUUUCUGGGGUUGAGUUUAUUUAUUUAAUCAUGUUUAAAUUAGUUUUAAAAAUUAAAAAAGAUAUAUUAAUUAACAAGUUUACUAGGGUUAGAAGAUGGGACAUAUGACAACUAAUAAGGUGUAUGGUGAGUAUACACCAGUUAAUGUGGGUGAGCAAAAAUGCACCCAAACAGAAAUAGCAAAUAAAAGAAAGAAACAAUAAAAUAAAGUAUAAAAUAACAAAGAAAACAGAAAAUAAAAGAAAAGACAAGGAAACGGACACACCUGAGAUUCGAAGUGGUGACCUGGUGCAAGGAGAAUAUGCGCUAGAAAAAUAAUGAAAAAGAAAGCACCAAUUCACUGCUUUGGAGACUCGAACCCGUGGCCUGAAGGAAACGAGGAGCGCUGAUGCUAAUGCGAAGCUCCACCCGUGUAGUGUUCACGUGACAAAACCUUAACAGCUCCUAGUAUAAAUUAAGUUUUAGCAUUCCAUUUCUCCCUUGCUUUCUAGCAUUUUCACCUUGAGCCCAUAGCCGUGAGGGUUCUCUCCAUCUUGCUCUCAAACCUUAGCCUAUCUAAACUUCAAUUCUCUACCAUCAUCACAAAAUCAAAACUACGGCGGACCUCUCGAAUCAAAAAUGACCCCAACCAUCAGAUUGUACUGCCGCCAUGGAAAUGUCGACACUUCCGAGGCUCAGAAAUUCGAAAUCCCAGCAAUCAUAAAGGAGUCCUGGAUCUGUGAAACCAGUGACGGAACCAGGAAUUGACAGGAGGAUAGGCGAAGUUAAAAGAGUGCAAGGUUCAAAAGAAUAGUAACAACCAAAUCCUUUAUAUAGUAAUGUCUUUCAUAAUUUAUCAAUACAAACAAAUUACAAUUAUUGCCGACGAGGUUUCAUAUCAUGAAAACGCCGCAUAAUAGGCUCAUUAUCAAUAAAAGCAAAUACAUCUCUCUCAAUGUAAACAAGCAUGCUAUCACUCAACUAUUGAUCUCCCAUUUUGUUACACAAUGGUGUUUUCACAAUUUUCAUAGCAGAAAAAGCUCUCUCCACCGAAGCGGUUGCAACUGGUAACAUCAAAGCCAAUGUAAGAAGCUUAUACACUAACAUAUAGCUUGCAUACCUCCCGAUCUUCACCAACUCCUUUGCAAGAUCACCAAUUCAUCUUAAUGAUGAAAACUCACUAUGCAUCUUCAUAUCGUGAAUGUAAUUGUCAAGUUGAAUUGGAAGAUUCAUGAGGUCCAUACAAUCAAAAUCUUGAGAAUAAAGUUGGGCUAGACGAACACUUUUUGCUUUGUCAAAAUAUGCAAAAUUAUUCACUGGACUCAAACAUGCCAUACAAAGAAGCAAUUCGGUGUUUACCUCAUUGAAGCUAUCAUUCAAUUCCUUUAAUUGUGUAUCAAGGACUUGAAAAUAGAGGUCCAUAUGAUAGUAAUGGAAGUUUAUGAGUCUUAGAGCUUUACGUCUUGAUUUUCCGGGUACAAAACGCAAAUCCUCCAUGUUAGGAACAACAAUAUCAUGCUCUUGACAAAACUUUUGUACAUCAUCAAGCAAGUCUCCAAAGUCAUCAUCUCUCAAGGAUUGUAGUCUUUGCUUGCAUACUUCCACUAACGCCAUCGCAUUCACAAUAUCUUGAUCUUUCUUUUGUAAUGUUUGUGAUAACUCAUUUGUAAUUUCC